rnacentral:rRNA from 1 species
UACGUAGGGUGCAAGCGUUGUCCGGAAUUAUUGGGCGUAAAGAGCUCGUAGGCGGUCUGUCGCGUCUGCUGUGAAAACUCAGGGCUUAACCCUGAGCUUGCAGUGGGUACGGGCAGACUAGAGUGCGGUAGGGGAGACUGGAAUUCCUGGUGUAGCGGUGGAAUGCGCAGAUAUCAGGGAGGAACACCAAUGGGCGAAAGGCAG